rnacentral:rRNA from 1 species
GACGAACGCUGGCGGCGUGCUUAACACAUGCAAGUCGAACGGAAAGGCCCUGCUUGCGGGGUACUCGAGUGGCGAACGGGUGAGUAACACGUGGGUGAUUUGCCCUGCACUACGGGUUAAGCCUGGGAAAGUGGGUCUAAUACCGGAUAGGAGCUAUUUUUAGUGUGAUGGUUGGAAAGUUUUUGAGGUGUAGGAUGAGCUUGCGGCCUAUCAGCUUGUUGGGGGGGCAAUGGCCUACCAAGGCGGCGACGGGUAGCCGGCCUGAGAGGGUGGACGGCCACAUUGGGACUGAGAUACGGCCCAGACUCCUACGGGAGGCAGCAGUGGGGAAUAUUGCACAAUGGGCGCAAGCCUGAUGCAGCGACGCCGCGUGGGGGAUGACGGCCUUCGGGUUGUAAACUCCUUUCGCUAGGGACGAAGCUUUUUGUGACGGUACCUAGAUAAGAAGCACCGGCUAACUACGUG